ensembl:lncRNA
AUGUUUGGAGCAGAGGUUGCUUCAAGGUUUCUGGAAGUCAUCCAGGAGGCCAGGAACCUUAAAGAGACUGCUCUCCUGAAACAGCAUCUGAAAGCUGUACUGAAAGAAGGAUCUGAUACUACUGAUGAUCCAGAAUGGGACAGAGACAUUGCUUCUCUAUUUGUCCUGCUGCAUCUUCUUAAGCCGCGUUUCCAUCGAAAUUACCCGGAACAAUUGUACCAGGAACUUUUUUCCCCAGGAACUAUUUUCCCCCCAGACUUGUUGCUUUCUGCGUUUCCACCGCAGUCUAAAGUACUGGGAAUAUUAGGCAAAAUAGUCUGGUGACGUAGGUCUGCGCGCUCAAUACAAAGUAUGCUAAUUUUGGACUUGUAUCCUCGGUAGUUCAGACUUUGCACAUUCGACUCGGGAGUGUGAUCUCCCGCGGACGAAACGACGCAAGUCUGGUAAUUCUGCAAACAGCAGCGUACUUGAUAACAUCUAUCAGCUCGCCUUGGCUACUGCAAUUUUCCUCACUGUAUAUUUACAAUAAGACGAAAUAGUGGAAAAAAGUGAAAGUGAAAGUGACAUACAGCCAAGUAUGGUGACCCAUACUCAGAAUUUGUGCUCUGCAUUUAACCCAUCCAAAGUUCACACACACCCACACACACACACUGUGAACACACACCCAGAGCAGUGGGUAUCAUUUAUGCUGCGGCGCCCGGGGAGCAGUUGGGGGUUCGGUGUCUUGCUCAAGGACACCUCAGUCGUGGUAUUACCGGCCCGAGACUCGAACCCACAACCUUAGGGUUAGGAGUCAAACUCUCUAACCACUAGCCCACGACUUCUCAGGAACUACUCAAAUAUACCACUGCCUUCUUUCGUUUUUCAUUUAAAAAUAAUAAUAGCAGCAGAAAUGUACUUAGUUCAGGGAAAUGUGUAUAUAUACAGACAUUACAAUGAAAAAAAAAAAUAUAUAUAUAUAUCAAUUGCUUCUUUUUAUUUUCAUUUUGACAUUUAGAUAAAUUGAAUACAGACCAAAGAUUACCUGUUAGAAUUACCCAAAUCUAAUUAUAUUUUAUGUAUAACCGCUUUAAGAGACACCAGAUCCAGCAGCGAAUGUCAGAAGGUCUAGCCGAGGUGAGGCUGCUCUCCGCGGAUACAUGAUCACUGAGCUCCCGCUGAUUGCGUGGAGCUCGUCUCCGAAAUCGGCGAAACACAUUUUCAAAUAGGCGCUGUCUUUAUAAAUAAACUGCAGAUUUGAGUUUUAAACA